UGACUUUACGUCAUGUUAAUAGUAAAAUAAGGUAAUUUUAUUAGAAGACACGGAGGCUCAUAUUAUGCUGGUUCAAAGCCGUGAAAUAACAGAAGAAGUAAAAUGCGGAGAUGGACAAAAAUAGUACUUCCCAAAGAUAGAUUUGCAAGACAAGUCAGCUUUCAGAAGGUCUUCCAGUCGGCAACCCAAGGAGAAAAUUUAAGAUGCCAUGGCAGCUCUCAUGGAGUGUGCUCCAAACACUGAAGUAUCGACAUCAGCAGAUGUCAUGAUCCAUGUCAUGAACUUCCCAACUUCAGAAGUGAUUUAAAUGCAAUCUUAGCCUCCCUAGUGAUGUCAAAAGAAACUCCGUCAGGAGUAUAAGAAUGUGC